rnacentral:rRNA from 1 species
AACGAAUGCUGGCGGCAAGCCUAACACACGCAAGUCGAACGGGUUACAUUUGUAGCUUGCUACAAAUGUAAUUAGUGGCAGACGGGUGAGUAAUGCAUAGGGAUCUACCUAGUAGUAUGGGAUAGCCACUAGAAAUGGUGGGUAAUACUGUAUAAUCCCCGCGGGGGAAAGAUUUAUCGCUAUUAGAUGAGCCUAUGUCAGAUUAGCUAGUUGGUGGGGUAAUGGCCUACCAAGGCGGUGAUCUGUAGCUGGUCUGAGAGGAUGAUCAGCCACACUGGAACUGAGACACGGUCCAGACUCCUACGGGAGGCAGCAGUGGGGAAUAUUGGACAAUGGGCGCAAGCCUGAUCCAGCUAUGCCGCGUGAGUGAGGAAGGCCUUAGGGUUGUAAAACUCUUUCAGUAGGGAAGAUAAUGACGGUACCUACAGAAGAAGUCC